rnacentral:rRNA from 1 species
GACGAACGCUGGCGGCGUGCUUAACACAUGCAAGUCGAACGGAAAGGCCCUGCUUGUGGGGUGCUCGCGUGGCGAACGGGUGAGUAACACGUGAGUAACCUGCCCUUGACUUUGGGAUAACUUCAGGAAACUGGGGCUAAUACCGGAUAGGAGCUCCUGCUGCAUGGUGGGGGUUGGAAAGUUUCGGCGGUUGGGGAUGGACUCGCGGCUUAUCAGCUUGUUGGUGGGGUAGUGGCUUACCAAGGCUUUGACGGGUAGCCGGCCUGAGAGGGUGACCGGCCACAUUGGGACUGAGAUACGGCCCAGACUCCUACGGGAGGCAGCAGGGGGGAAUAUUGCACAAUGGGCGGAAGCCUGAUGCAGCAACGCCGCGUGCGGGAUGACGGCCUUCGGGUUGUAAACCGCUUUCGCCUGUGACGAAGCGUGAGUGACGGUAAUGGGUAAAGAAGCACCGGCUAACUACGUG